rnacentral:rRNA from 1 species
AUUGAACGCUGGCGGCAGGCCUAACACAUGCAAGUCGAACGAGUGGCGGCCGGGUGAGUCAUGUCUGGGAACCCGCGUGCUGGGGGGGGCUCCAUAAUAGAAACAGUAUCUUAUACCACAUCCCCUGCGAUGUGCCCAGAUGGGAUUCGAUGGUUGGUGGGGUAACGGCUCACCAAGGCGACGAUCCCUAGCUGGUGUGAGAGGAUGACACGACACACUGGAACUGAGCCAGGGACCAGAAUCCUACGGUAGGAAUCAGUAGGGAAUAGUGCACAAUGGGCGGAAGCCUGAUGCAACCACGCCGCGUGUAUUAAGAAGGCCUUCGGGUUGGAAAGUACGUUCAGCGGGGAGGCGUUACUCGCAGAAGAAGCACCGGCUAACUCCGUGCCAGCAGCCGCGGUAAUUC